AAAUCAAGCUAGAAAGGGCACAUAGUGGAUGCCUUGGUGCUAACAGGCGAUGAAGGACGUGAUAAGCUGCGAUAAGUCUCGGUCAGGUGCAAGUAACCAUUGACCCGGGAAUUUCCGAAUGGGGUAACCUAAUGUUAUUAAUAUGACAUUGUUCCUUCCUGAAUAAAAUAAGGAAGGAUACGCGAUACCUGCUGAAUUGAAACAUCUUAGUAAGCAGAGGAAAAGAAAUCAAAAUGAGAUUCCGUAAGUAGUGGCGAGCGAACGCGGAAGAGCCUAACCAAUAGUGGAUCAGUGACGAUAGAUGAACAAGUUGGAAAGCUUGAACACAGAGGGUGACAUUCCCGUAAUCGAAAUCAGAUCUGGACAGGUGAAAGUAGCACACCACACGUGAAACGGUGUGUGAAGAUGGGGGGACCACCCUCCAAGGCUAAAUACUCGUUAGCGACCGAUAGUGAACCAGUACCGUGAGGGAAAGGUGAAAAGAACCCCUGUGAGGGGAGUGAAAUAGAACCUGAAACCAUGUGCCUACAAGGUGUAGGAGCUCUUCGGAGUGACUGCGUGCCUUUUGCUUAAUGAGUCUGCGAGUUAGUAUAUGUGGCAAGCUUAAGAUCUUCUGGAUCGUAGGCGUAGGGAAACCAAGUCCUAAUAGGGCGUCAAUGAGUUGCAUGUGCUAGACCCGAAACGGAGGUGACCUACCCAUGGCCAGGUUGAAGCUUAGGUGAUACUAAGUGGAGGACCGAACCGGUGAAUGUUGAAAAAUUCUCGGAUGAGCUGUGGGUCGGAGUGAAAGGCUAAUCAAACCCCGUGAUAGCUGGUUCUCCUCGAAAUGCAUUUAGGUGCAGCGUUGCGUGUUGAUGAGUGGGGGUAGAGCACUGAAAGGGCUAGGGGGCAUACCCGCCUACCAACCCCUAUCAAACUCCGAAUACCAUUCAAUAGAGCGCAGCAGUGAGACAGUGGGGGAUAAGCUUCAUUGUCGAAAGGGAAACAGCCCAGAUCAGCAGCUAAGGUGCCAAAAUUAUACUAAGUGGAAAGGAGGUGGGAUUUCAUAGACAGUGAGGAUGUUGGCUUAGAAGCAGCCACCAUUUAAAAAGUGCGUAAUAGCUUACUCAUCGAGAGAUCCUGCGCCGAAAAUGAUUGGCGAUAAGUAUAAUACCGAAGCUCUGGAUGUCGCUGACCUGCGGGUCGGUGGCGUGGUAGAGGAGCAUUGUAAGGGCAGAGAAGGGGAAUGGCGACUGAACCUGGAGCGCUUACAAGAGAGUAUGCAGACAUGAGUAACGAUAAGGACGGUGAGAUCCCGUUCCGCCGUAAACCCGAGGUUUCCUGGGCAAUGCUAGUCAUCCCAGGGUUAGUCGGGACCUAAGCCGAGGCCGAAGGGCGUAGGCGAUGGAAAGCAGGUUAAUAUUCCUGCACGUGCAAAGGUAAGAGGACGCAUGAUAGAAAGUGACUAGGUUAUUGAAUUCCGAGGUGAGGCUACGGCCGAUCCGCAUCACUGGACGUUGUGCCAAGAAAAGUCGAACCGAUUAAACGCACCCCGUACCGCAAACCGACACAGGUGGGUGGGUAGAGUAUACCAAGGCGCAAGAGUGAAACCCAGUCAAGGAACUCGGCAAAAUGGCUCCGUAACUUCGGGAUAAGGAGUGCCCCUGUUAGCAAUAAUUGGGGGCCGCAGUGAAAUGGCCCAACCGACUGUUUAGCAAAAACACAGCAUUGUGCUAAGACGAAAGUCGACGUAUACGAUGUGACACGUGACCAAUGCCAAAAGAUUACGGUAAGGUGUUAGCGCUUGACGCGAAGCUCCGAGCCCAAGUCCUGGUGAAUGUCGGCCGUAACUAUAACGGUCCUAAGGUAGCGAAAUUCCUUGUCGGGUAAGUUCCGACCUGCACGAAUCGUGCAACGAGUUGGGCGCUGUCUCGACUGGGUGCUCAGUGAAAUUGUAACGCCGGUGAAGAUGCCGGCUACCCGCAGAAGGACGGAAAGACCCUAUGGACCUUAACUGUAAGCUGUUAGUGUUCAUUCAAUCUUAAUGCUCAGCAUAAGUGGGAGACGUUGAAGAUAAUCUUUAGGGGUUAUCUGAGUCAUCAGUGAGAUACCACCCUUUGAUUUUGAAUGUUCUAACCUCACGCCCUGAAUCGGGCUGGGGGACCCUGGCAGCCGGUCAGUUUUACUGGGGCGGUAUCCUCCUAAAGAGUAACGGAGGAGCGCGAAGGUUGGCUCAGCAUGGUUGGUAACCAUGUGUUGAGUGCAAAGGCAUAAGCCAGCCUAACUGUGAGACCUACAAGUCGAGCAGAUACGAAAGUAGGCCUUAGUGAUCCGGUGGUAGAAAGUGGAAUUGCCAUCGCUCAACGGAUAAAAGGUACCCUAGGGAUAACAGGCUGAUCGCGCCCAAGAGUUCAUAUCGACGGCGCGGUUUGGCACCUCGAUGUCGGCUCGUCGCAUCCUGGGGCUGGAGAAGGUCCCAAGGGUCCGGCUGUUCGCCGGUUAAAGCGGCACGCGAGCUGGGUUCAGAACGUCGCGAGACAGUUCGGUCCUCUAUCCUCUGUGGGCGUAGGAAAAUUGUGGGGUUCAAACUCUAGUACGAGAGGACCGAGUUUGACGCAUCUCUGGUGUUCCUGUUGUUCUGUCAAGAGCAUCGCAGGGUAGCUAAAUGCGGUCGAGAUAAGCGCUGAAAGCAUCUAAGCGCCAAGCUUCUCCCGAGAUUAAUUUUCCCUGAAGGAUCGUGGAAGACCACCACGUUGAUAGGUUGGGGGUGUAAGUGCGGCAACGUAUUCAGCUCACCAAUACUAAUCAUCCGUUCGGCUUGAUUCCU
rnacentral:rRNA from 1 species